CCUACGGGUGGCAGCAGUGAGGAAUAUUGGUCAAUGGGCGCGAGCCUGAACCAGCGAAGUAGCGUGAAGGAUGACUGCCCUACGGGUUGUAAACUUCUUUUAUAAAGGAAUAAAGUGAGGCACGUGUGCCUUUUUGCAUGUAUUUUAUGAUUAAGGAUCGGCUAACUCUGUGCCAGCAGCCGCGGUAAUACGGAGGGUCCGAGCGUUAUCCGGAUGUAUUGGGUGGAAAGGGAGCGUAGAUGGGUUGUUAAGUCAGUUGUGAAAGGUUGCGGCUCAACCGUAAAAUUGCAAUUGAUACUGGCAGUCUUGAGUACAGUUGAGGUAAGCGGAAUUCGUGGUGUAGCGGUGAAAUGCUUAGAUAUCACGAAGAACACCAAUUGCGAAGGCAGCUUACUAAACUGCCACUGACAUUGAUGCUCGAAAGUGUGGGUAUCAAACAGGAUUAGAUACCCUUGUAGUC
rnacentral:rRNA from 1 species